rnacentral:lncRNA from 1 species
CUUUUUUUUUUUUUUUUUUUUUUGCCCUUUUCAGCAUCUAAAACGAAUAAUCUCAACCAUAUAGGCUGCUGCUGAAAUAGUUUGUUAGGUUCUCAUUUUGAAAGGUGGAUGAUCACCGGACCAGGCAUUGCUAACUUGCUAUGCCCACGUUGUGGACAGCCUGGUUCCACGGUGGCCCAUGCAAGGAAAUCGGCUCCUUAGCCUUUAAUGCUCCAAUUUUAUUUUUUUUUUCAAUUGUCAUCUCUAUUCCUACUCCUGAAAGACACAACUGACCUUACAGAGGACAGAUGAAAAAAGAACCAUCACCGGAUCAGACAGGUGCACUACGCACCCGUCUGGAUUUGAAGCAGAGCCACAAGAGUGACAUUUUGUCUCCCACCCCACCAAAGCGGUUUUGGGGGUGACCACCAGCCCAAGCCGGUGGUUAUUAAUGCUCCAAAUGGACUAGGCCUGUCAAUCGGGCCUAAUGAGCCGGGCUUUGAUGAGUUCAAACUCAACUCAUUUAAUUUGAGACAUUUUCGGGUUUCGGGCUAUGAGUUUCGGGUUCGUAAAUGUGAAGCUCAUACUCAACUCACAUAAUAUUCAGGUUGUGAGCCUUAAUCGGGCUUAGCCCAAACUCACUUAUUACUCCUGAAUUUUCUUAAUAUAAUUGCUAUAACUAUUAAGUUGUAAAACUAAUUUAACAUUUACAAGACUAUAAUAUUAAAACUAAACAUGAACAAAUAAUAGUUCUUAAAAAGUAUAUAAACCAAAAUUUUUUCAACAAUAUUUAUAUGUAAUCCGUUUAAAAUGCAUGAAAAAUAGUAAUAAAACAUGCAAUCAUAAGCCAAUACAUCUUUAAAAGUUGAAACUUUUUUUUAUAAUCUUGUGAUUUAAAUCCAAAUAUGCUUGAUGAUUUUUGUGUUUGUAGACCAAAAAAAAAAAUCAACCAAUAAUAUGCCAAUACAAAAAGUUACUCAACCAAUAAGAAAAAUUAGAGAUUUAGUUAUGCAUUACUAAUAUUGGCUCUCAAGAAAGCUCAUGAAAGAGUCUUUAGAUGUGUUUUUGUGUUUUGUAAUUUAUAUAUAUAUUUAGUAUUUAGCAAAAAUAUAUUUGGAUAUAUAAUUAUACAUAAUAUCAAAAUAUAAAUAUUAUAUAUAUAGGUAAUUAAAGGGCCGGGCCUAUAUCGGGUAUGAGCCUAAUAAGGCCCAAGCUCGGCUCACAUUUAAUUCGGGCCUAAUUUUUAGGCUCAAACUCAGACCGGCUCACUAAAUGAUCGGGCUCAUCGGGCUUUCUGUCGGGCCGAACGAGCCGAGCUCGGGCUGGCCCAGCCCCAUUGACAGUCCUAAAAUGGACCGGUGGCAAAUAGGAUAUAACAUAAAUCAGAAUGGAAAAAGCUUCCCCCUUCUCUGAUUGCAUUGUGGAACAAUUAUUUGGAACAACUCAUUUCCUUACAGGAAUAGGAAUUGUUCCAUCUAUGAAAUAUAUACCACAAGAUUUUGCAUGGCGGCGAUGCAAAAAAAAUUUUAGAUAUAAAAAAAACUGCCCUCAUGAGAGCCUUAGCCGCUAAUCAAAUGAGCGGUGAUGGUUUGAAGGAAUAUAAAAAAAAAAAAAAAAAAAAAAGGGAAACUGAAGCAACCCAAAAUAAAUUAAAAUUAUUUUUACUUGAAGCUGCACAUCGGAGUUGCAGCGACCCCUAAUUAACAGCCCUCCAUCGGACAGCACCAAUUUUAUGACGCUUUUUAAUUUUAACAAUACUAUGAGAAAUUCGCCCUUUUUUGAUAUAUAGGAGAUUGAAAAAUGCAUUGAUGAAUCAUGCAAAUAAAGUUUGACAAAUAGUAAUAGCAGAAUUGAGACUUGACCAGGCAUCACGGAAGUUUAACAAGACACAAGAGAAUUUUCUCCCCUUUGCAAGCUCUAAAUUGGGAAUUUAAUGUAUAAGAGGCUGUAGUUCUCGUAAAGUACUCUCGACUAUGUAUUUCAAUCAGUGUAGGCAGUGGAAGGAACACGACUGUGAAGCUGUAGCAAGCUCCGAUAUAACAUGUUCAAAGAGUAUGUCAAGAGGCCAGCACUCUCGUGCGUCAUUGGAAACUGAAGAAGAAUAAAAACUGUCUUCACAUACUUGUUCACAAACAUUGUAGGCUAAAAUUACUCUAAAUAAUUCUUUAGAGCAUCCGUACCACCAAUGGUUCAUGGAAAUACAAUUAUAAAUGGUUGACACACGUCAGAAUAAGAAAAUUACCUUGUCAUCCAAAAUUUUCUAGCCUGUUAAUUAUCAAAUUCUUGGUGAACAUAGCAUUUGGUUCAACAUCGUGAUAUGUGCAGAAGGCAGCGUAAAUGUGACAUGAUUGCUUAGCUGCUCAAACUGUGAAUAUCUUCCUGACUUUCUUCAUAUUUCUACGACAGAUAGGACAAGCACCGGCAGCCUCUGCUAUCCUGCAUGUUUGGAAGCAGUUCGAGAUUACAAGAGAUGUCUGAACUUGCACUUGUUGCCUCCUCAAGUACAAGAGCAGCAGUGAACAAAUGAUGCAAACUAUAAAAUUUAUCACAGCCAAUUAUUCUAAUUUGAAUCAGGAAAAUAUCAGUCCAUUUUGUAAAAGAUUUGGUAACAAGCCACAGAAAAAAAAGCAAAUAUUUCCUUUUCAUUUGCUCAAGCGCCCUUGGUCUAGUGGCUAAGGUUGAGACUUCAAAAUUGGGAGGCCCUAGGUUCAAUUCCUCCUCCUCAUUCCCUGCUUCUUAAACUCAUCCAUUUUCAUGCUUAAAAAAAAUUGAUAAACCAAAAAGGGAAACGAAAUCCCAAAUCUUUGUUUUGGAUUCCCAUAUGUAGCCUCUCAUCAGAUGCCUAGAAUGACCUCCAGACCCAGAAGUGUUUAAUCAUGUAUUUACUUGGACCAAUUCAGUAGAUCUACUUAUCCAGUUACAUUUUAUAUAUUGGGGGACAGAAAGAGGAUAACUGUUUACAACUUGGUAGACAAAUUCGUUGACCUGUAUCACUGACAUUUUAUGCUCAAACAUUUUGGAAAAAGAACUCCAGUAGUAAAUUUAAUGCUGAAGUGAAGAUAGAAAAGUAGUGACCUCGUGCCACAUGCGAAACAAGCCACACAAUGCCCACAUGGAAGGAAGAAACAGUCCCUAGGAGCAUCAAAGCAAAUUGCACAUAGGCGUCGGAUAUUAUUAUUGUAUUCACCAUCUUUUGCCGAUAUACCCUCAAGUGAACCCGCUGCCUGCCCCUCUUCAGCAUCCUCAUCAUCUUGUGAGACAGAAUCAUACGAGGAACCCCAGCUCGAGAUAUCAUCAUCUUUGUUUUCAAGCAGAGGGGUCCUCGCAGAUCCUGUUUCUCCAAAUCGAAUUCUACUUCCAUCUUGAUUUGUGCACCGGAGAUGGAUGAAGAAGUGGAAGGCCACUAACAUGAGAAUUGUCAUUCCACCUGUAUGGCUACAGCAUUAGGAACUUCAGGGAAAGCCAAUUGCCAUUCUGUUCUCUCUUUAAGAAAUGGAAGGAGAAGGUACCUAUGCCCACAACAUAUGUCACCCAUCUGGGCCCAUAGGAGAGCUUCACAUGGGACUCGUUAUUUCCUCUACCCUAAAGAAAAAGAAAAAUAACUUGUAUGUCACUUAGUUUGGAAGCUGAUAGGAAUACCAUAGGAGACUUGCUGGCCUUGCACAAGAUUGCACGUGUUAUGAUCUUUCAAUAAGAAAACGUGGUGCCUAUUUGCGCUUGUUGAUAUUAAGCCAACAAACAUCUCAGUGACUCAAGCACAUAACACUCAAUGCAUGGUAUAAGGAGAUUUAGAGGAUAAAGUAUCUUAAAUUGUCCGGCAGUCUUGAUUCAUUGAGUAUUAAAACUGGAGUUUCACACAAAAAUUUUGGUUCUUUACAAGGUAGUGGCUGCUAAAUACUUGUUAUACGUGAAAAUCUGUGUAAGAAGAAGGUGUCACAAAAAGUGAAAAACAAUCAAACCAGAAUAUAUACAGCAAUAUGGAAAAUGAUUGUUUUGUAUGUACUGGGACAUCUAAACAGGUAACAUACUUACGGGUGUUGGAGCAGGAGAGGUUAGAAGAGCAGUAUGUCCACCAGUAAACGAGAGUUUAAAACUACAUCCACUUUCAGUAAGACCACACUGGUAGUAAGCCCCAGUUGUAUUAUAUAGAUAAGUCUUUAAUCUCAUAUUCAACUGCACCUGUUCAUGAAAAGUCAAGCAUAAGCAGGAAUUACAAAACGCGAGACACCUAGAAAGCUAUGAUAAACUGGACUGAAGCACAUAGAACAUUGGUAACCAGAACAAUGGGCCAGGGCUGAAAGAGAUAGAAGAAACGAGCAGGUGUAGAUGCACUUCUGAUUAUGAUUCUUACUAAUGCCAGCUAAUUUGUGAUAUAAUAUUUGGGGCUUCACAAUUUCCUGUGAGUGGUUGUUCUCUAUGUUCCUCAGAGAAGAAGACAACAAUUAAAGAGGCAAACUAAGAUGGCUUUGUUUUCCCUGGAAGGACCUACUAAAGACCACACUCUUCCAAGUUAUCAUGCCACACUUCCAUAGGCUAAUUAUAAAUUGUCCAAAGCCACUUCAUUAGCAAUGUCAACACAGAUAAGAAUCUAACAUUAGACUUACCUCCACUGCUUCAGCAUUCAAGUUAACAAUUGCAACAUAGUAAUUAGAGGAUGUUAAUAUAUCCUGCUGGAUCAGGCCACUGCCUACAAAUAAAAAGUUGGUUAUCACCAUAACAGACUAAGUACUGAAACCCAUGUACACAAGCUUCUCAGCUUUGCCUCACCUCGUAUAAUUUGCCAUAAUAAGGUGGAAUUCGGGUAUGAUGGGUCCUCAAGCCACUGAUUAAGACCUUCACUACCUGCAUUGGCUCAACUUUCACUAGAAACAUCUACAGCAGCCACAAGCUUACUGAGGUUACUAAAUGCAAAUAGUUAGACUGCAUGCAAUACCAGAUUAAUUAUCAUAGAACUUGCAUUCUAUUUGACAAAAAAGCUUGUGGCACUGUGUGAAUACUAACAUUUGAGCACUCUAUAUCUAUUCAAUUCAAACAUAAUAAUGAAAAAAAUAAUGAAACAUCAAGCAUUGAGAUGGUAGAUGCAUUCCCCCCCUCAAUUAGAAAUAAGGAUGAUAGAAGUUUUGAUCAACAAGCCUAAGUCAAGGAUCAACACAAACAUGAUUAACAUCCAACUUUAGAUCUUUGCCACAACAAUUGAACAAAUUUUACAGGUUUUCCAAAAUUUUAACUGAGGUGGUCUGCAACAAUCAACGAAACUGCCAAAACACCUCCAUGGUCCAAAACUGGCAGAAUUGAGAAAUUAAAAAUUGCCAAAGGCAUAAGAGACAGGAAAGUAAUCAGGAACUAGAGUGCCUUUAAAACCCUGCAGAAGACCCAAGUCCACAGCACAGGCCACACACGCGAUGCACCUUCUUUUUUCCUAGUUAAGUAGAAUUAGCUCAAUAGUUACAGAGAAACCAAAACCAGGUCUCUGCCUCCAUUUCGUCUUGGGCAAAACCAAAAGGACUAUAACACGUGUUAAACCAAACUUGUCUAACAUGCAGUUAGAGAAUGCCUUGCGCUGCUUCAUGUUGGUUCAGGAUGGCUUUGAUUACAUUAUCAACUACAUUGAAACGUGUGUUUUGUAUUUUCCACACUCUUCCCUCUUCAUAGUGGGAAGAGGAAUGUCAAGCACAAAUACUUCCUGUCUUAUCUGUUAGCUGCUAGAAUACCAUCAUAAACAAAAUACUUGUCAUAAAUCAACUUACAAUAAGUAUCAAAUAGAACAAAAUCAGAACACAACAAUAUGUUAGAAUCUGUAAUCAAGCAUUUACUCAGCAAAGUUUAAUCAAGUAAUGGAAAUCAAGCAUAAAGCACAAGAUUUGAUCUCAGAGUCCACUAAAAUAAUUGUAGAAACACACAACUGUCAAUAGUGAGCAUUACAAGAGAAAAAACCCUACAAAAGAGCUUCUCUUGAGAAGUAUAGACUUACCUUGGGCAAUUACAAAGACUAAAGAAGAGGAGCUUGGAGAGUUAACAUCGUAUGAAACAUUUACUUGAGAUCCUUCAUUUAAGAAAUAUAUCCAUUCCUGUUGCACCAAGAAAUUGACUGAAUUUACCAGAACUAACAAAGAUGAAAACAGGCGGCAAAUUAAAGCUAACAAACUUGCCUUGUGAUUGCCGGAGAAGAGAGUGGUUUUAUGAGUCUCAGACCAGGAGGUUACAACAUCCAGUGGUGGGUCUUUGUGGAAUCCAUAUAGCAUAACUCCAUUAGCUGCCUCGUGAAUUUCCGCUAUCUAAUAAACUCAAUUUAGGUUAAAGCGGGGCACUACAAGGAUUUUUAGAGAAGAGUGAACAGUAAGCAAAAGAAAGUACCUUUACAUACUCCACGAAAAAGGAAUUAGGCUUUAUCAGGAUCGAAGAGUACGGUCCGAGCAACAAGCUUGCAGGACCAUAUACGCCCAUUAUCAUAGUCAUAGAUACUGGAAAAGAACAUAAUCAAAAUCAGGGACAGGAAAGGAGAAAAAAUUUGGUUUCUGUAACGUUUUUCCAACAACUUCCCAAAGCUAAAAAAAUUACUGAAAAGGAACAGUAGUUGACAUUUAGGUAGACAACAGAAUAUAAUUGCUGCAUGUGCUGUUUAUUAUUUAGAUUCAAGACGGACUUCUACAAGUGUGCAAAACAGAUAGAACAGACACGUAUAUUCAAUUUAUUAAUACGUUCUUUUCAUGGUAAACCAUUCGUACGCGCAUCAUUACCAGCAACUUCAGUGGAAAGUUUUUUGCAAGAGAGCAUUUCCCAAAACUACAAUUACUAAUAUAAAGUAUAAACUAACCUUCAAAAGUGGAAAUGAAUUUAAGGCGGAAUGUCAAAUAAUAAAAAGCAAAAACACAAAUGUUAUUCAAAACAAUUGAACCCAAAAGGUUGAAGGAAGUUUAUACCGAAGAACCAGUAGGCGAGGAUAACGACAAAGCAAGACAACGAGUCGCCUCUCAUCCGUCCCACAACAUCAUGUGCGUUCUCCGUUACCGUUGAAUAUGCGUUAUAGGACAAGCUCGUCCUCUGCUGUAUCAGCUCCGGAUAUCUUAGUCCGUUACCCUCCGCUUCCUCUUCGGCAGCGGCUGUCUCCUCCUCUUGCACCUGCGAAUUCGUCGACGACGUUGAUGCAACACCAAAAUCUUCUCCGUUUCUGGUUGAGUCCGUUGACGGCGAGCUCGAAGCAGCCGAAGUAGUCGGCGGAGAUUGAUUAUUGUUUUCCAUUCUGAAAAAAGUUAUAAAUAUGCAUAAAUAUACGGAGAAAUUAAAAUUUGAAGCUUGAAUGAUAUGGAACCCCAAUUACGAUUUUAAACUUACCGAAAAACUGGGCAUUGGGUCUGGAAUAGUCCAUGUAAAGAAAGCGAGUAACUGAUUUUUUCUCGGGGUGGGCGUUUUCGGUCUUUAGUUCACCAAGAAGUCAGCUCCAGAGCUGCUUAGCUCGACUGUUAGUUAUGAACCGAAUAUAGCGACGGUUAGGUAGACUGCGAUUGUCGACCGACAGAAUUGUAUAAUCAAUUAGAAUGGAUCAGGUUCAACAUAUUUGGCGCCAAUUGGGCGCCCCCCCAAGUCCUAUCUGCUCUUCCCUUCUACUGGUAAGAAUUGGGGGGACGCCCAAAACAAUAAAUAAUAAUAAUAAUAAUAAUAAUUACAUUUCCACCCCUGAAGUUUGUCCAAAUUACGGAACAAAUCUCAUAGUUUGACCAGAUUACAUUUACCCCCUACCAUUAAUCUUGUCAACAACCAACUAACAAAUCUAAUCUAAUAAAAUGACAACGAUGCCUUCUGUACAUUUGAAAAUAAAAACUAAACAAAAUAAUAUAGCAUUUUGUUGUAAAUAAAAAAAAAAAAAAGAGCCAAGGGGAAAAAAUCAAUAAAUUAAGAAAUUUAUAAACACCAUAAUAUUAAUUUCCCAGAACAUACGCGUAUGUAGUAUAAUAUGUAGGGAAAAGGUAGGAAUAAAGAGAGACUAAAUAAAUUGAAAACGAAAUAGAAAUAAAAAAAAAUUAAACAAAAAUCGCCUUUAGGAAAAAAUGGUCAAAGAAAAAAGAAUGAUAGCCUCUAAGCCUCUAUAUCCCUUUCUUCCUUCCUUUAUAGAUUCCAACUUGUUCUCCACCAUUAAUGCUACCACCAUCGUCUUCCCACUCCACUAUAAAAGCAAUAAGAUAGUUUGUAAGUCGAUGGUUUCCCUGACCAAAAGGUUCAAUCUCCAAACACUUGAUUACAAAAGCCACUAUAAAGAAACAAGCUACGCUUCAUGACUUAUAUUUAUCCCAAAAAAAAAAGUCAAGAGAAGAGCUUUGAAGUAACAAUCCAUAUAAAAAGAAAAUAAAACUAGUAUUCACCCAACAAUAAUUUGUGAGUAUCCCCAAUAUAUAGUAGAUUUAGUUUGAUUAGUCUAUCUAUUUUGUUUCAUGUGUACAUGCAGAUGAAAAUAAAAUAGAUGGUGGAAGAAGAUGCAUUGUGGCAGAUGAAAUAAUUUCUAUUUUGGGUCUUGGUGUAUUUGUUACACAAUUUUAGGAUGAUUUAAUUUUUUUUAAUCUAAAUGGACUUGUAGGAGUAAUAUGUUAAAAUUGUGUAAUAUAUAUUCAUUAAAUAAUACAAAUUUUCAAAACUUUAGAAUUACAAAUAAAUAAUCAAGUAUAAUAAUAUAGAUAGAGUGAGUGUAAUUAAAGAAAAUUAAUAAAAGAAAAAUUGUCCGUUAAUUGAUAAAAAAAAUCAAGAAAGAAAUAAUCAUUGUAAACAUAUAUAAUGUAGGGAAUUAAUAAAUUGAAUUUUACUACACAUAAAAAAGUAUAGAAUGAUUAAAAAAAUAAAAGUUUGUCUGUUAUGAAACAAUUAAAAGUAUGGAUGUCCCUUUGUAUUCUUAAGAGAAUUAAUUCUUGAUUUAUGAUUACAUUAUGUAUAGAAAUUACAAUCCAUAAAUCUAUUCAUGUAGUGGAGAAACCGUUUCAUAAGUUUUUUCAUAUUCUUGUAGUAGUGGGUGUUUAAUAGAAUUGAUGUACCUUUAAUCUUGUAGUACCUAUAUAUAGAGAUACAUUGACACCUUUUGGAAAAACUUUUGUAUUAGUUGGAAUCAUUAGAAUAUCAUUCUCUAUUACUCUACUUUUCCUCUAAUAUCUUCAUUCAUAAUAUAGUAGUUUAUUUUGUUUUACAAUACGUUAUCAGCACCAGUCUCUAUUUUUGAGCAAAAGGUGAAAACGGAGCCUCUAUCUUGAGUAAAAGUGAAACAAGAGAUUCUGCCCGUAUUUUUUCGGUAACUUCUGUCUACUUAUUGAGGUAAAUUUUUGACACAUAAAUUUAUUUCAAUUUCUUAUGGCUAACAUUUGAAUUAUCGAAAAAAUACAAGUUUCUAUUGCUGAGCAAUCAUUAAACACAAAUAUAUACUGUUUGACAUCUUUGAGAUAAUAUUUCUCCUUUUAAUUCUACUUAUUUAUCUUUAGAAUUAUUUGUUAUAAAUACUUAUAUUCUGAUGCAAUGAAUUUUGGAGAUGCUAUUAUAGAAAAUCAAUUAUAUUUGAGGAUCUACUUGUCCUUUGAAAUAUUUAAAGAAAAAGAUUCGAUCACCUGAAAAUGAUCGUUCUUUAACGAAAAUAUUUGACCACCAGAAGAUGGUCAUUAUUUCAAAGUCUGGUAUGAUAAAUUUACUUAUGGCUACAAGUACAUAAUUCUGCUAUGUUUAGAAUUAUUUUUUAGUUGAAAAUAAUAUUUUCUACAUAUUUCUCAAAUAUGCUCUUGUAGUAGCAAUAUUGAGAGAAAAUUUGAGAAGUAUUUUGUACUUAUUGCAUGCUAAUUCUAGUCCAUUUCUAGAAGUGAGUGUGACUAAAUUUCAAUUUAUAGUUAUGAUUGCUGCUAUGACUAUGAUUUUGAUAAAUAUAUAUUUUAUCAUGACAAGAGAAAAAAUUACCACUUGAAGUGGGAUAAUAAUGAUAAGGACAAUAAAGUAAGAAUCCUGAAGAUAAAUGUCCCGAAAUACAUUUGACGAAUUAAAAUUAUAAUAUCAUUUUCACGUGAACAAUUUCUUUAAACAUCCUGAAGAUGUAUGAUAAUUGAUUUAAUUAACUUUUCUUCCUGAAAAAGAAAUUGAUGUUAAAUAUUUGAGAUCAAAGGAUUAUGGAGAUGAAAUUUGUCCCAUAAGAAUUAUGGUGACACUGAUAUGUAUCUCAUUAAUAAGUGCUACUAUAUACACUAUAUUCCAAUGGAAGAGACAAACACACUCAGUUGUAGUGUUUAAAUGAUUGAAAACUCCAGAAAAGUAACUACUAUAUUUUUUCCUAUAAUAGAAAAGUUUAUCAUAAAUAAAACACAACUUUUUACAAUGUCUCAAAAAAUUUAUUGAAUAUGAAUAUCCGACAAAAUGGAUAUCAAAUUGAGACACUAAAUGAAACAAUAAUAAAGAUCAUGUUUAGAAAUCAAAUGAGAUAAAUGUUAAUUGUAUCAUAAUAAUCAUUCGAAAGAGAAAUUGUUAUCGAUAUAGUUGUCUUCAUUCUCAUUUGAUUUGGCAAAAGUGAAAAUAUUUGAGAGCCGACAAAUAUUUAUACAUAUCCCCUUUAUAUUAUAUAUGACUCUAAAAAAAUUUAAAAUUUAUGUAGGGUAUGAAUCACCUUUUACGAUUAAAUAUUGUGAAAUAUUGAUGGGUGAUCUAUUGAAUGAUUUAUUUAUUCUGAUGAACUACGAUUCCCGACAUUAAGGGGAGGAAAAAAUUAACCGAAAGGAAAUCACUUGAAAAAUUGAAUUUACUCGAUCCUCAUACAAAAUAAUGUAAACUAGAAGUUCAAGAAAUUUUUCUUGUAGAAAGUUAUAUUUAUCGACUCCAGAAGAGUCAUUAAAUCAACUAUUCCUGUAGAAAAUACUCUGGUUAAAAUUGAUAUUCCUGAAGGACAUACACAAGUGCUACAAAUAAAUUUAAUACCGGCCUACCUAAAUAAAGUAUAAAUUGAUUUCGAAUAAUUCCGAAAAUUAAAUAAAUGUCAUGAAAAAAUUCAAUCUCUUGAAGAGGUCAUUCCCGAAAAACCAACUCCUGAAGAGAAUGAAAUCAUAGAAAAUUUAAUUGAAACCUAAUGAAAUGUAGCACUUGAUAUUAUAGAAGUUGAUGAGAAUCAUAAAUCUAGAUCAGUUGAUGAAUGUCGGUAUAGAAAUGAUUGGGCAAAGUGGAAAGAUGCGAUCCAAUCUAAAUUAGAUUUAUUGAUUAAAAGAAAAGUUUUUAGACUUAUAGUCCAAACACCUAAAGGUGUAAAGCUAGUAGGUUAAAAAUUUUCACAAAGGUUUGAAUUUGAUUAUGAUGAAACGUAUUCACCUGCAAUGGAUGCUAUCACAUUUAGAUAUCUUGUGAGUUUUGCAAUACAUGAAAAACUAAAGAUACGUUUAAUGGACAUUGUUAUUGCAUAUUUAUAUGAAAAUUUUACAAAUGAUAUUUAUAUAAGAAUUCCCAAAGGAUUCAACAUGCCUGAAGCAUGCAAAUCAAAUUCUAAAGAUAUUUAUUCUAUUAAAUUAUAAAAUUUUUUUUAUGGGUUCAAAUAAUCUGGACGUAUGUGGUAUAAUCGCCUCAAUAAAUGUCUAACUAAAGAAGAUUAUACAAUGAUCCAAUAUAUCCAUGUGUUUUUAUCAAGAAAAAUGGAUCAAAUUUUGUGAUAAUUGCUGUAUAUGUUGAUGAUCUAAAUUUGAUUGGAACUCCUAAAGAAAUUCAAAAUAGUGUUGAAUAUUUAAAAAAAGAAUUUGAGAUCAAAGAUUUUGGAAAGACAAAAUUAUGCAUUGAUUUACAAAUUAAGCAUUUGAAAAAUGAAAUUUUUAUCCACCAAACUGCAUAUACUCGAAAGGUAUUAAAACGGUUUUAUAUGGAUAAGGCACAUAUAUUAAGUAUUCCAAUGGUUGUCAGAUCAUUAUAUCUUAAUAAGGAUCCUUUUAGAUCGCUAUAGGAAGAUGAAAAGAUAUUUGAUCCUGAAGUACCAUAUCUCAGCGUCAUUGGCGAAGAAUAUUGGAAUGCGACGAUUAAAAGAUCUCAAAUAAUAUUUACAUCAUGGGGAGAAAUUAAUACACAAGAAUAGUGUACUCUUUUUCCUUCACUAGAGUUUUUGUCUCGAUGAAUUUUUCCAUGGUAAGGUUUUAACGAGCCAUAUUCUUUGUGUAAUAGACAUCCAAGCGAGAGUAUUAUGAAACAAUUAAAAGUAUGGAUGUCCAUUUGUAUUCCCAAGAUAAUUAAUUCUUGAUUUAUGAUUAUAUUAUGUAUAGAAGUUACAAUCCAUAAUCUAUUCAUGUAGUGGGAAAAUCGUUUCAUAAAUUUUUUCAUAUUCUUGUAGUAGUGGGUGUUUAAUAGAAUUGAUAUACCUUUAAUCUUGUAGUACCUAUAUAUAGAGGUACAUUGACACUCUUUGGAAAAUCUUUGUAUUAGUUGGAAUCAUUAGAAUAUCAUUCUCCAUUGUUCUACUUUUCCUCUAAUAUCUCCAUUCAUACUAUAGUAGUUUAUUUUAGUUUACAAUAUUGUCCAUAUUUUAGUAAUAGCAACAAAUAAUCAAUGUAACCAUAUAUAAAGUAGAGAAUUAAUACAUUUCUAUAAAUAAGAAAAGUAUAGAAUAAUAGGGAAAAAUAAAAGUUUUUCCAAAUUUUAAUAAUUAUAAAAAAUUACCAAUCCAAUAAUAAGGAUAGAGAAUGUGAUUAUAGAUAAUUAAACUAGGGAAAAAUUAACAAAAAAUACAUCAAGGCAUCAAUUAUAAAAAUGCAUAUAAAAUAUGUAAUUAAUAUAUUUUUGAAAUUUACUAUAACAAGGAGCAAAAAAAGGUUGUAAUUUAUUGUUAUAAAAUAGAUAAAUAAUAAAAUCCUCCGAGAAAUAUAAGCAAACACAAUUUUUUUCACAUGGAAAAAGAUAAAAUUUUUAUUUGAGAAAAUACAACUAACUCAACAACUUACUAGAGUGGGAAAUAAAUAGUGACAUGCUUUGUCCAAAUAGCACUAAACUAGGUGGUGACACCGCGCUGUGCACGAUGGAAUACAUGCCCAGUUAAUGUUUAGCUAGUAAUGUUGGUGAGAAUGAAAAUUAGUGAAAUACUAAACAGAGUAAAAUUUUUUGAGCAAUACAAUUUUGUUAUAAAUAUUGAAUAGUCAUCCGAAAGAGGUUCUAGUUCUACAGGCAUUCUAAAUAUGAAAAUCAAACAAGUUCAAUUUUAGUCUUGAAUGCUUAGGUUGUUGAAGCUGAGCUGAUCAACGCCUAGAAAAGCAUCCAAAAAGUAUGAAGUUAUAAUGCUGAACACAGUAGCUCGAGAUAGCCUGAAUGCAGCAGAGCCAAAAAUUUGAUAGAUAUCAACGAAAAGUUCCACCAAAUUCAUCCAAAAUUGAACAAGGCCAUCAGGCAGAUCAAUAGCUUCUCCAUCAUCAAUAAACAUAGAAUCGUUCACCUGUCCAAAAGACUCCAAAUUAAUCAUAAUCCAGACAAAAAAUGAGGAAAAGGAAAGAAUCUUGCAAUACAUGUAUCUGAAAACAAAAUUAUUCCCACAUACACUAUUUUCUCAAAAUAUUAAUAUGACCAAAAAUGAACUGACAUAUGGACUCUUUCUCCACUACUGGCCUAUUUUCCAAUUUGCAGGGAAGCGUACAACGGAUGAAAAGGUCACACAUGUAUUGCAACAUAGUAAAGAUUCUGUAACAAUUACAACGGAAGCACUAAUAUUUCAACUUUUCCAUGUCUUCACUAAUAGGAUAAACCUUCAAUCAUCUAACAACUUAGCCAAGGAUGAACAGGCCUCUAGACUUGCUUUUAAAAGCAUACACAGUGACCAUGAAUCUUGUAAGCAACUACCACCCCUGGAAAAAGAUAAACUACUUUUACCCACUAAGAUUAUUCUCCAGCUCAAGUGUAACAGGUACUAAUAUAUUAUUCCAACUUAUUCUUCAACUUUGAAUGAUCUAAGCAUGUUUGUACAAUGUUCUCUUCAAUAUAUUCCUUCACUGCACAUACUUUAAGCAUGUUUGCAUAAACCAAUAGAACUAAGACUCACACAAAAAUGGACAAACCAAAUAUCUGCAUCCAACGAAAGUGGAAACAAAUGAAGCAAACUUGUGCCUGCAAGAGAAGAUCAUCAAGUAAAGCUGAGUGAGCAGGGAGAAAUACUUCUUGUAUAUUCUUUCUAUCUCCUCCACCACUCAAAUCAUGCCCAAGAAUGCAACCUGCAAGACUUGACCUGACAUGUAAAGAGAACAAAAGGCUGAAUUUGCAUGAGAUAUAAUUAAUUCAUAAAGUAAACUGUGAACCCAGCUUUAGCCAUAUCGGAGCCAUCAGGAAUCAGGGAACUAACACUGGGAAAAGGCAAUGAUAAGAAAGAUAGGAAAACAAAGAACUAUUUCUACCAGAACUGCAAGAUUCAGUCAGCAAUUUCCUAAUAUUCACGUGGAAAAGUAGCACAACUGCACGCAUAGAUAAAAAAUCAGAACAUUAUAAGUUAACAUCAAACAAGGGACAUUUUGCAGUGGAAUUACGUAAGUAUGCACUUUGCAUGCCACAAGGGAGAUGUACAGUACCUUAAAUCUACUGAAAUAGGCUCAUAUGGUCAAACAUCCUCAACAUUCAUACUCCAAUGAUGUAAUUGUUUGCCAAUCUAGUUGUUUCAUCCUUAAUUACUAAGACAGUUUUGAUUUCCCAAAAAAAUUAUAAUGUUGAUGAGCAGGAGAAAUGCAGAGAGCUUAAGUUAGCAUUUUAAGGCUAAUGCAUCAAAUUAUGACCUCUGGCUAUGAUACACAUUAUCUCCUUAAGCACAUCAUUGUCAAAUGUUCAGGAUCUAACCUCAACAGAGCAUCCAUGAGUAUUACUGCCUCAGGACUUGCUUUCAAAAUCAAAGAUGGUGCAUAGGAUACAUCAUAUCAGAAAAAACCAGUUUAGGCCACAUCAGACGAGCAUUAGUACCACUCUAUGAUUUUAUGAAAUCUAAAUUGGAAUCAAGAUUCUAUAAGAAGCAAGCCAUGAAGAAGGAAAACUCCUAUUGAAAAAAGAACUUCGAACACUUACUGUCUGACCAAUUUCUGACAUCAAGCAAGCAAUACCAGCAAUCAUUUUCUCGUCUCCCGUAUUAAGAGUUGGAAGAAAAAACACUUCCUUUAGAAAUCCAAUUCUUCUUAACAAAACUGGUGGCAAAUCGGACGAGGAAUUAGGAUAUAAUACAGAAGUUUUGAUUCAGGAAACUUGAUUGUUUAUACUCCCCAGAAAAGCUCCUAAAUAAGCAUGAAGAAUAACUGCAGUGGAAUCAAAACAGUAUAGCUAAAGAAUUGCAAGAACAACUCUCCCUUGUUUUGUCAGUGAGGUUGCUAUGUUCCCCAAUAUAAUAAUCAGCCACGGCAAAAUAAACUGAUAAUAUUUCGUACACAUGAUCUUAGUUUAAAUGCUGCAUUUUCUAGAAUCAUGUAACAGCUAUUGUAUCAGUAUAUAUUUUUGACCCUUUUCUUUCAGUUUCACUAAAAAAGGCCUUAACCAUCUUCUGGCAUCUCCCUUAGUGGUGUUGGCAAGAAGGUAGCAAGAAGAAAUAUGUUAGUCUUCUCGUGAAUUUAGACAUGAUGGAUAGAUUUGUUUUGCAUACAACAUUCAUAUAGUGCACAAUGGCACUUGAAGAAUUAAAAAGGAGAUUCAACACAGGAAUAAGAUUGUUCAUCAGUUUUGCUCUCCAAUUCUGCAUCUAGCACUACUUCUGAAAUGGAGUUGUUUGAUGCAUCUGAUGCUCAAGGCUAAGCUAUUCGAAUAGCCCAAUGAACUUUAUGAAACUAAGAAUCUCAAACUUGAUAGUACCUUUAAAUGGAAGCAAUACUAUCUACUCAAAAUCUAUGAUCUUUUACUGGAAACAAUUAUUUUGAUUAGUAAAGAUUUUUUUAUGACGAUAGACACUUGGAGCUGUAUAACCACAGUUAAUUCUUGAAAUAAUAUGUCAUCUAGUUCAUGCAAAAAUCUGCUUUUUGCAUUACCAGAACUUACUUAUCACAAAAUAGAAAUAAUUAGUCAAGACUGCAAAAAACUAAUAUUUUCAACCAAUACAAGAGAAAAGAAAAAAUUCAUAAAAUAUACUGAAAAAUCAUAUUAAGAAAGUCAAACCGGUAAUAGAAGAUCAAGAAACAGCAAUAAAGAAAUGACAAACAUAAAAACUUACGUUUUGGAUAGAGCAUAAAAAAUGCUCUGAGCUUCAGCUGUAACAGCAAUCCUAAAUCUUUCAGCCUCUAACUCAGCUUGCCUGAAAAAUGCCACUUAUAAAAUCAACCACAAUAAUCACAAAAUAGUCCAAAUCUCGGAGGAAGACGGGACGACGACUGUGCCCAGAGGAAGGGUAAGGUGCAACAAGCACAUUUGUUAACCAAUCAAUUCGCGCCACAUCACCAUUAUUUACAGAUUUAAAUGUUAAAGCAGUCUAUUUCCACUCCUGCAAAUGGUAGUCCUAUUUGGAUACUCUGUUAUACAGAAUUUUUGGGGUUCAAUAAAUGAAAAGAGAUAAAUGAAAAGCCUUCAUGAAAAUUUAACCACUAAUUUUACUUGAAAGCAGAAUUGGAGGUCUUGACAUACAUUAUUUGCCCACGUGUUGCUCAUAAAUGGAAAUGUAAAAUUGUCCAAAAUUUCCUUGGGCAUGAACAUCCAAACUGAUUGAUCAGAUCUCAGUACAAAUGCACUUAAUCCAGUUUUAGGAAGUUAACCUUUUUCCACACUUCUGAAUAGAAGAUAAUAAGCUCAUAUAAUUUUGAUGCUACAAACAAGUUAUUGGUGCAUACAGGAUUGCAGUGGUCUUGUUACAGGACAUAAAAAAAUUACAAAAACCAAAACAAUUGUUUAUGGUCCACAGUUCAAUUCAGCAUCAAGCUUAGUUUAAUUCCAGAAGUGAAGCAAUAAAUAAAAACAAGGGGGGAACAGAUAGUGUAACAUGUUAAUGUCAUCCCCAACCCAUGUAUUUUAAUAGUCAUUCAAGAAGGCAAAAGAGAGAGAGAGAGAGAGAGAGAGAGAGAGAGAGCAAAGAGAAAAAAUAUAUUACAUCUUACCAUUUUUCUCAAUAAGCAUCACGAUCAUUUGCUAAUUGAGUUUGUCAUUAUCCAAAAUUGUCUACCAACUGUAUAUUCCCACUCAAUCCAAAUGCCUUGUCAGCUGGCAUGAAUGAAAAUCCAUCUAGAAGUUUCAUGCACUUCAAUUCCUAUUUAACCAUCAAGAACUCAAUCAGGUGAUGCCCACUGUUUACAGUAAAAAGAGAAAUAAAAAAUUAACAUAAACCUGUGAUACACCCAAGCGUGGUUACCAAAUGUCCUUCAGCCAAGAAAAGAUCAGGAAUUGAAAAUCCAUAAUCACCUUUUGUUGUAGUAAGCUGUUAUAAAAACCAAAGAGGAAGAAUUCUGGAGCAGAAAUGCCACAGUAGCAAAAAGAUAAUCAAAUGCUUCAAAGUGCAUGCGUGGUAAAAACAUCUUUCCAGUUAAGUGAUAUGUGAAACAAAACAGAAAAAGUCACCAUAUUGGGAAGAGAAAAAUAGGGACAAACCUACCACUUGUUUCAUAUAGGACAUCAGCUCCAAGGAUAAUAUUUGGGCACAGGGUGAAUAUCUGUUCAUCCCAAACACCCCAUGUAAGUCCUAACACCUUGCAAUACAUAUAAAUAUGACCAAUUAUAAGUUUAUUGGGCUCUAGUCAAAUGUGGCUUCAGAUUAUGGUCUUGAAUAUAGAAACUAAGUAUGCAAUGCAUCAUUUAUCUGUGAAGAACUGAAGAUGCGUCAUAUAAGCUAGCGAGUUAAAAUCUACUACUAUCAAAUAAAAAACCAUUCCAUACUUUGCAUGUCACAUUAUGCAGCCCACAUUCUCUCCUCGUAUUAGCCAGCACCUGCACAUGUCAAGAACAAAACUGAAGCAAGUAGAGAUGUAACAAAACUACAAGACACAGAAAUUACUCUAAACUAUAACCCAAACUUCUAAAAAAUAAAUGUCUAAAACAGCAUAAAAAAAAAAAAGACAAUGAAGCAAAAGCGCUUAGAUAACAAUAGUCCAAGCUGUUUUUUCCUGAAAACUCAUCCAAGCUGUUUUUGUCCCAAAAAACUGAAAAAAUCUCUUCUAAACUUGAAAAUCAAGAAGGCUACCGAUAAGUAAAAAUAGUUCAAGCAAAAAAACAACAAUAGGCUAUUGAUUUAAAUAUCAUUGAUAAAAACUCUUAAACAUAACCUUAAACCUGAAAAAGAUGGCUCCUUUAUCAUUGAUCCCUCGCUCUAUUGGGAAAAAACAAAAAAAAAAAACCACAGCACGGUUUCUUCAGAAAGCAAAAAAAAGCACAAAAGAACUCGGGCAUAAGAAAGUGGAGGAAUUAGAAGAAUCAACACUUUUUCCUCUUUCCUUUAUUUUAUUUUAAUCAAAACAUUUUUUUCUGCUCAACUGAUUUUUUCACCAUUUAUUCUCCCGUAACAAAAGGGGGAUGGAAGAAAAGAAGAGAAUAGGAAAGUUGAAUUUCAUGGGAAUCUCUUCACAUAUCUCAUAUUGACCACAACUUCAGGAAUGCACAACGGGUAAUGUAUGACAGAGAAAGACUAAAGAAUGGAUAGGACUGAGUGGUCAUCUCAAGUCCAUAGCUUCUAGCAAAAGGCAUAGAUGAUUGAUUGAUUAAGAAAGGAAAAGGAGAAACAAAUGGGAGAAGACGUCUGGAGUGGUUGGGGUUGGUGGAGCUUUCCAGUGAAGAGUCUGAAGACCAAUGCACGAAAGAAUGAAAGAAAGAGCAAAAAAGGUCAUGUGCAGGACAUGUUCAAGGGAACCAAACUUGCACCAAUCACUGCACGCCAUGUCACCAUCCAACCAAUCCCAUGGAGCCACGUGGAGGACGACCACGUCCGACGUGGAUCCUGGGCGUCCGCCCUUAGUCUAUAUGUUUAUAAUAAUCAAACCAAUAAUAGGAAUUAAGAACAUGAUUGAAUAUGAUUUAAAAAAAAGAUAUGAGUUUUUUUAUUUGUCAAUCAAUAUUUUUUUACACUACGUCUACUCUUAUUUCUUUUCCUACAUUAACCUAUCUAAAGGAAAACUCAACUAGGUCAAGAAAAAUUGGUGGAAGCUAUGUAAGAAAGGGCUCAACUAGACCGGAGAAAAUCAAUGGAAAAUGAAUCACUAUUGAACCAAAUGGGUAUGCACUACAAACAUGUUUGAAUUGGAGAAAUCACUAUUAGUAGUAAGUGAUGAAAGAUAAGGGUUGAACUCUUGAUCCUUCAUUUAAAAUUUUUGUGGUAGUUAACAGCCAAAUGAGUAGUUAGUUAAAAACUAAAGAAGUAUGAGUUUAUACAAAUUUGUAUAAGGUAAGUUAUUAUUAAAUUUGUUGAUAUUGACUACAAAUAAGAAAUCAUACUAUACAUGAAAUAAAAAAAAGGAGGGAAUUAAUUGUUACAAAAAAAAAAGAAAACAAAUUAAAGAAGUAAAUAGUUUACUUGGUAACUUGAUAAAAAAUUAGAGUAACCAAUUCAAUAAACCAACCAAAAUUGAAACUGAAAUCAUUAACCACGAUACUCCAUUCUUGAUCAUCAUUGCUAGUUACCACUUCCUUAGUUCUCAAUCAUGGAACCAACUAGAAGUAGUUGGCCACAAAAAAAGUUUUAAAAUUUUACUUGAGUGUAGGUUGAGAGAUCAGAUUGCUCUGCAUUUUAAUAUCUAGACUUUCUUUAAAAUGUUUUAUCAGUGGAAUUGGGAUGAUUCAUUGGAUUUCCCUCGGUCUCUUUAGAUUUACUUUCCCCUAAUGUUGAGUAAUUCAUCGGAUUUCCUUUGAUCUCCUUCGGUCCCCUCCCAAUGUAGAGUAAAAGCCCUUUAACCUCCUCAGUCAGUCAGUUCCCCUCUACACUAGACCGGUGGUGAUUCACCGGCCGAGCGGAGCCAACGAGCAAUCCUACAAGCAUAUAAAAUACUACUCGUUGAGAACCGAAAAGCCUCAGUUGGCCAGGCUGCUCGAAAAGCUGUCUCCGUUACAAAGCCUAUUACCCAUUACAACCUCCAGGACUACCGCGUGAUUGACCAGAUAUUCCUCUUGAUAACCGUAUUCUUAGCGUCCAAAUUGGUAAUUUCACUCCCCCGUCGAACCCACUCACCCCCGUUUCCUCAAAUCAAACCGGCACCGGACCACUACCAUUCCCCCAACACCCCUCCCACCCGGCCCCUCUCUUCCAAGCCCUUCCCCUUUUCUUCUUUCUCUUGAACAGAAAGACAGAAGGAAAAAAGAGAGGGAAAAAUCUCAUCAAGAACCAGAUCCGCUUGCCUUCCCUGAAAUUUAUAUAGAAAAACCCUACCGUUUCAAUUUGAAUCAAUCAGCAUCGUAUUGAUUCAAUUAAAAGAAUUGGAGAGAGAGAGAGAGGACUCUCUCAACCAGCAAGAAUGGGAGAUUUCAAUUUGGCGCUGGUGAUUGUGGCAAUAGUUGUCUGUGUUUUGGUGUUCAUCUUCAACAUUUACCUGCUAAUUAAUUAUCAGCAUCCCGAUGACGUCAACCAGGCUUAUUUCCCAAAAUUUGUUGUCGUUUUGGGCCUCUCCAUUGCCGCCAUCUCCAUUCUCAUGCUGCCUGCCGAUGUGGCUAACCGGCAGGCAUGUCGCCACGCUAUUUAUAAUGGCGCGUGUAAACUCACGCUACCGAUGAAGGAUCUCUGGCUUGCAGUCUACAUCGCUGAUGCGAUUUUGGUUUUCUUCGUUAUUCCUUUCGCUAUGUUUUAUUAUGAAGGCGACCAGGAUAAGUAAGUACAUCGCCUAAGGUUUCCGUUUCUUUUUCCUUUUUUAUUUUGUUUCUUCUUUUGAUACUAUUUUUUAAUAGCACGAAUGCUAUGCAAUGGUGCAUUCUAUAAGGAGCUUUUAAUCAUUUUUGUUGGUGCAGGAGUGUGGGCAAGAGGAUUAAAAGUGCAUUAUGGUGGGUGAUAACUACUGCGAUCGUUUGUGCCCUGGUGCUUGGCAUUUUAUAUGGUUAGUUGUGGUGGAUUUUUUUUCUAAAUAGCUUUUUUUCCAUCAAAGCUUAAAAUGCUUUUUUACUGUGAUCUAUUGUAAAUAUAUUGAACUCACAAGAAAGGAUAUAAUUUGCAAGAUAGCAUAGAAUGUUGUCCUCAAAGACAAUGUAAUGGGCACAUAAUUUCUAGGCGAACUGAUUGAACUAAAUUUUGAGAAAUCAGCCGCUUUUUCCCCAUAUUUAAUGAUAAACCCUUGCCCAAAAUAGCAUUGUUCGGUUUGGAGCACUACAGAGCUUAUGUAGCUGUAUAUUGUCCACUCUGUAUUUGCUUAUUUUGACCUAAUAAUCCUUUAUCCACUCUAGCUCUUUUGGACUAGGAAGCAGAGUUCUCUUUGACAUGGCUUCUGGAAAUUAAACAAGAUUGCUUCUCUAUUUACUUUAAGAAAAAUUGUUUCUUUUAAUUGAGCUGUUUUGUGUUUCUUAUCCCUCUACUUUAUAUGCGUCCUUUUCACUACUAGGACUGGUUGGAAAGGUGGAUUUCACGGUCAGACACCUCUCCUCGGGCACAGCUUCAUUUCCAAGUUCAUGGGACUUCUCUAGUGGUCAACCAUGUGUAGGAAAUGGUGUACGCCAGGUGAGCAAACAUAUUUAUUUUUUUAAUUUUUAUUGGUUUUGCUUAUUAUAAUUGUGAAAUAGGCGUUAGUGUACAAUGGUUGAUUGAACUUUGUGAGAAAUCUUGGGCUUCUAAGUUUGGAGCAUGACAAAUGAUUAACAUAAGCUGUGUAGAUGGAGCCACAGUAACAGCUUUUACUAUUUAAUACAUUUUUUAAAGGUGUUCACCAAUCAGUGUUUGUGUUGAACCAUCUUUCAAAAUUUACGUUAAUAAUUGAUAAAGACUAGGCUGACUUGUUUCUGGUUUAUACAUAUUAUUGUUCAAAAUGUGAAUUUCGAUUAUAUAAUUUUUUUUGUGGCCUGCCUCUCACAAAUUAUUUAGAACAUGAAUAUGCUGUUGUGGCUUCAUCUGGUCCACUUAGAGUGGACGGGGCUGGUACUUUAUGAUAAUCAAUCUCCUAAUGUCAACGUCAAAACUAUGCAGGCCUUAUUGCAUUUUUGAUAUCACUAAUUCCAUUCAGUUCCUAAUAUUAGAUUAUCUCAAUUUCAGUGUUCUGCAUAUUCUGCAAGUCCUUCAUCUGAGACCACAUGGAGCAUGCGCGCUACCUUCCCAGAAUAUGUUGUUGCUUUGGCAACAAUAGUCGGAUCUGUACUUUUUACGGUACUUGUCUCUCGAAAUGUUUAAUACCAUGAUUUCUUUGUGACUCAGUGCACUGAAUGAAAUUUUUGGGAUUUGACUUUCCAUUUUAUUGGUUUUUUUUUUGGGGGGGGGGGGGGUUGGAGUUGCUCCUACUUUGUUUUAUGUGGAGUCAUCCUUUUAAAUUGUCAUGGUGCUAUGUUAACAACCUAUUGACUCUUGUUGUUUUUUUCUUUUGUAAUAUUUGAAUGCUCAUUUAUGGUCAUAAGCAAUUAACUAGUUUACUGGUUGAACAUUGUCUGCAAAGAAAGAAGAUGUAACAGUUGGAUUGAGACGAGUAUUCUAGUUAUUUUUUGUGCCCUAAUGUCUCAUGCUGCUCUUCAGAUUUUUGGAGGGGUUGGAAUAGCCUGUCUCCCACUGGGACUGAUAUUCUCCUUUAUUAGACGUCCAAAGGCAGUUAUCACUCGCUCACAGUAUAUCAAGGUACUUGGUGCUUUUCACAAAAUGUUUAGUGUUGCUGAAGUGAGAAAGUUUGGUUCUAAAGAAAAGUAAUGAAUUCAUUGUUUUGUGAUGGUGAUUAAUGUCACUUAGGAAGCAACUGAACUAGGUAAGAAAGCAAGAGAAAUGAAGAAGGCGGCUGACGCACUUCAUCAGGAAGAAAGGAGUGGCAGCAAGGGAAGGAAAUGGCGUAAAAAUGUCAAGGCUGUAGAAAAGGUAUGCACUGUCUCUCUACUUCAUCUGAAACCCAUCUCGUCUUCUUGGCAGAAAACAGUUGCAGUUGUCACGAGCUGUUUUUAUUUUGUUUUUCUUACUUUCUCAAUUAUUGUUUAGGUGGAUAUUGUAUUUAAGCUGCCAGGACAACAAAAAUCUUGUGUUCUUUAAAAAGCUUUUUUUUUCCGUCUAUGGUGCGUGUGCGCAAAUAUCUUCCUUUUUGAAUUUUAUUGUAUUCAUAUGUGUUGUGGCUUAUUCUCUGUGUUUGUAUAAUGCAAAAGAACUAGCAUUGAACAAGUAGACUCGUUGAUAUUAUGACUUAUCUGAAAACAGUAGGUUAUGACUGGGAAUAUUUUGGUUCUUAUUCACCUUUAUGAAAUAAAUUUAGAAUCACCUAAGGCAACACACUACGGCUUCAGCGGCAUUUCAGUUAGAAAUGCUUAGAUUUAUACGGCCGGGGGAGGAGAUUUUUCAAAUCAUGGUGCAGGAACAUGUAAAUCUAGUUGAGAGAUAGAAUGAGAAAAUAUGUUUACAUGACUUUUUACAUGUUCAACCCUUUAGGAUUAAAUGAAUGAGACCCUUGUUUUAAAAAUAUCGAGUGGUUUUCAUAAUGCAUUAACCACAGUUGGCAUGAUCAGAAGGUGUUACAUUUGUGUCCACAGUGGUUAUCAUUGCUUUCACCACUGAAUCCUCCUUGGAAUCUCGUACUUCUUGGAUAGUAAUAUUCCAGAGUUUUUGUAAAUAUACGUGCAUUACCUAAAUGGUAACUCCAACUAUGGAGCUAAUCAUUUGGUAAGCCUUUUUAUCUGAAGUUUGGGUACAUGGUUUUUUCACUUUUAAUUUAUGUAAGUGUGCUUUUGUGUUUGAUAGCUAGUGUCAAUGGGGACAUGAUAUUUAUUUGAUCUCUUCUCUGCAUUUUUCUCUUCCCAUACUUAUUAUAUUAUGAUGUUGAUGUGCGCUUGAAUAUUUGUCUUUGUAUUAUCAUUAAGGAUAUUCGUUUUGCAUACUUAAUUCUCCAGGAAUUACUACUUCUGGAAGAUGAUGUCAAGGCUUUAGAGGAGAUGUACCCUCAAGGUGAAAAGGUGAUCAACUCGUUCUUUGUAACUAAUAGAAGUGUGUCGCGUUUAUUCUCUCUCUCUCACACAUUUAAUUCAUGUUAAAUCUUUUUUAGGCUGAGGCUGCUUGGGCCAUGACCGUUCUUGGCUACUUGGCCAAAUUUGUGUUGGGAAUCUUAGGGUAUGCCUUAUUUUUUUGUUUUUUCAAGUUGUUCUACUGAAGUGUGAUUUUACUUUAUGCUAUGUUGUUGUGCCUUCAGGCUUUCUGCAGCUUUACUGCAUAAAAUAGUUACAUGACAGUUAUUCCCGAAUAAGCUUUACCCUUUAUUAGUAUCUUAAAAAGCUACUUUUGCCCAAAGGAAGACUCAUUUGCCCUUUUUGACUUUGUUUUCUAAGUAACACAUUUUAGCUAUAACCUGGACAUUGUUGGGCCUUUUAAUGAGAGUUAUCCGCAUUGUCAAACAUCUUAGGGAACAGAGCUUAGGACUAAUUGAGUGUAGAAGUUUUACAUUUAGGCUGCCCUGAACCAAAAUCUACUUAAUUAAGCUUUUUUUAAAGGAAGCAGAAGGUAAGAAGAUGGAUAGCCUGCUAUUGAGAGUAAGACUUAUUGGCAUUAGCUGUGAGCACAUUAAAUUGAUUGAUAUUUUGUUCCUAUCCUUGUUGGGGAAGUCUUAUGCUAUAUAUCAUAUCCUUGUGCCCUUUUUGAUUGGUGUACAAACUUGCACUCUUUGGUGCCCUAACUUUGUUGCUUUGAGAUAUUCAUGUGCUGUAAUGUGUCAUAUCCUUGGGCACUAUAUUAGAUUUUCUCAUCAUUGUAUAAAUCACAUGUAAUUACAGACAUGUACUGUAAUGAUACGAGUAGAUGAAAUUAUUUGUACCAUACAUGUAAAGCUGAAGUAUUUUCAUAAUUUAAUAUUUUCCCUUAGCCUGAAGUGCUUAACGAAAUUGGUCAUCCCUUGUUUAUUUUUUGGCCUUUGUCCUCUCUUGUAUGGUUUUUAGUGUCGCAUUUUGGGUGUUGGCAUGGUUUUACAUUUUAGGCUAUGCCAUAUAAACAUGAUAGCCUCCCAAUAGUAAAGUCAUGGUAUAUUGUACAUGGAAAGUCAUGGGAACACUGUUUUACUUACACGGUUGUCAUUGUGUAUUCCCCAGUCCUGCCCAAGCUCCGUACCUAAUCUGCUUGAAUUGCCUUGCCCUUUAGAUUUCCUCCCAAACCUGAAGAAAAGGUAAAUUUGAUUGUUACAGCAUUAUGAUGGAAGGAACAAGUUUUGGGUGGCUUUCAGGCUUUCAAUUUCUAUGAGGUUCUCCUUCUUCAUGACCUGUUGCCCUGGCAUUGUUCACUGAUAUGGGGUUUCUAUACUAUUAUACUUUCUCCUGUAGUUACGCCAUUUUAUCAGGUGGAUGGACUAUUUUUUGUGACCUGUAAUUUUUUGCUCUCUUCUGACAGGUUGAUUGUUUCAGUUGCUUGGGUUGCACAUAUCAUUAUAUAUUUGUUGAUUAGGCCUCCACUUUCUGCAUUCCUGAAUGAAGUUUUCAUCAAAUUGGAUGACGUUUGGGGUACUUUUUUAGACUUCUACAUAUUUUUGUACAUUGCCAUCUGAUUGAUUAGUUCUUAACUGACAUGAUAUCCAAUGCUGCUGCUACUUAGGUCUUUUGGGUACGGCAGCAUUUGCAUUCUUCUGCUUCUAUCUACUACUUGCAGUGAUUGCUGGUGCCAUGAUGCUUGGCCUGAGAUUAGUUUUUAUUACAAUUCAUCCUAUGAAGUAACGACUUUUGGCAUCUCAAUCUUUUUUUCCCAGCAAUUUUAUCCAUUGCUCCCCUACCCCUUUCCUCCAGAGCUGGUUUCCUGCAGCUCAUGAUGGUUGCUCCAAAUCUCUACAGGUGGGGAGCUACACUCAUGAACUCGUUUCUUUUCAAUGUUGGCCUCAUCCUCCUUUGCUCUAUCAGGUUUGCACUGUUCUCUUUUUAUGCUUCAAUGCCAUGUGCUCAUGGAGAUCAGUAAGAAUAGGUAAUGAUAGAAUAACGAGGAGUGGCACCUGCAGCUUCUAAUGUCUGAUUUCGGAAUUUGGUUGUGACUACUUUGGUCAUCAUUAUUGCAGUGUAAUUCAGUUCUGUGCGACUGCGUUUGCAUACUAUGCUCAAGCUACUGCAGCUCAAGAAAUAUUUGGUCACACAUUGCAAUCACUUCGGGGAAUUAAAUAUCUAUACAAGUUGGUUCCAGCUGCCUUUCUAUUCUUGCAAUUAAUUAUAUUUUAUAUAUUUCAGAAGCUGUUAAUCACGUCUAUACUUGUGCAGGUACAACGUUUUUCAAAUUGCAUUCAUUGUUCUAGCUGGGCUGACCUUUGUGUACUACUUAGCUUUUGUAAGUGCCCUGCCUUUUCUCUCCUACAUUCUUGGCUUUUGAAGGCUGCACCUUGAACGUAGUUCUGCAUGCUUUUGUACCUGGCCAGGGUUGGAGAAGAAAGAAGCCCAGUGGCAGGUUCCAGCUGUCGUCUUAAAUUAUUCAUUUCCUCAAAGUGCAUGCUUCCAACAAUGGACCUUUUGGAGCUUGAGUUUGGACAUUGUAAGAGCAGUUUGAUAUUCGGAUAUGCACGUGUCGUUUUGUUUUAUCUCUUCUUCCUGAGCAGACGGGCAUCAUCCAUGGUCGAAUUUGGUUGCUGUAGCGAUACUGCUGCUUGACUGGUUUUGCACUUUUUGUAUGUAUUGUUGGUUUGAUUAAGUUACACACUAGCUUGUGUAGUUUGUUGCGGGUGGGGGGCUGCUUACAGUUAUACAUGAUGUAUCAUAUGGUCAACGAGAACGAAUCAUUUGUAGUCAACACUAAUCAGAUUGUCACAUCUUUUCGUUUCCUCUUCGACCUCAAGUAACAGAUGCUUUGAUGGAUUAAACAUUAUGUUGUAAAGCCUGCAAACGAGGUUGGAUGCUUUUAAUUUGGAUAAUUUGAUUCUGCAACUUUAGAUUUUCUAUUGAAUUGAAAUUUUACGGUUCUGUGAUUUAUUUUACACGUUGAGAUGAAGUUCAAAUCACUUCGAUAGCAAUUCAAUGCACCUCACGGCAACUUCCUCCAAAGAAAACUCAAAAUAUUCAUCAUGUUACUGAAAGUAGACUAAAGCUCAAGUGCGUUUUCAUUCUUAGUGGAUUCUAAAUGCUGAAUGCAAGCUUUCACGUUAGGCAAAAGUAUAAUUGGGAAGUGCGACUGCAAAUUGUUCGUCUGAAUUCAUGGCAGUGUGGAGAGGUUUCGUGGGAUUUGGGACGAGCUGACAACUUUAGGAUGCAAUUUGUUUGGAGUAAAAGUUCUGACGUUCAUAGUCGAUACAUUUUGAACACAUUUUGACAUAGAUAAGAAUCUAUAACCAUUCAGAGAUUAAUAUUGCUUGCCCUUUGGAAUGAAUGGAAUAGAAUCUAUAUACCAUCCAGGAAUAGAUAUUACCUGCAUCCAUGGUUUGCGGAUGCUCCAGUAAAAGGAUCUCAUAAUCUGCUCCAGUUCUCUUUUAGCAGAUAUGGCAAGCAAGAAGUGAUUUUGUCAUUGGAAGAUUAUAGGGUGGAUCAUUCCCAGAUGGCAAAAGUUAAUUGGUUUUCUGUCGAGUCAAUUGAUCAUUCGAGACUUCCAAGUAGAAUAUAAUACAACCAAAGGGUUGACAUAAAUGGCAGAAAAUGAUACAAAACAAUCCUGUCUCAAGGCUUUCAUGGCAGGGGGUUGAACAGGGAACCAACAGACUACUUUCUCCUUACUCCCACUGAAUCUGCCAGUGAAGGUUGAGGUCAGCAACAUUUUUCGUGUCACCACCUGGACCAAUGACAUCAUAAGGUGAGUCCUCAGAAAAUUCAGUUGGCAAUGACUUCCAGUGCAGGCCUGGCUCCCAUUGAGCCUCUUUGAGAACCUUCAAUAUCUCCUUCACCACAAUCUUGCUUGCUUCACAUGACAGAUGAAUUCCAUCCCUGAAGAAAGGGAACGGAAUUAAGUCAACAAAACAAGCAUCUCAAUUUGAAAAACAGCUCUAGUGAAACUCCCUUGACACAGUUUUUCACCUGAAUUCUAGCAAUACCUAUAUGUUUUUCUCUCUGGCUUUCGUUGUUGGUGAUCCUAUUACUUUAUACCAGCCAAACCAGUCGCAUCAGCAUGUAAAUCUUUAGAUAGUGUUUGUUAGCACGGAAAAGCAUGGGAAAGUGAAGGAAAGUCAGUUAUUUUUUCCCCCAAGCACGUUUGGACGGCAAAAAUGUUAAAAAAUUAUCUUGCACUUGACUGCAUUUUGUGCCUUGUAAAAUUUGUAGGAUUUUGAAGUAAAAUAGCUGGUUACCAGCAAAAGUUGCAAUAACUGCUACUAACUCUCACUAACUCCCUAUAUUUUCUCAAUAUUUUUCUUAGUAACCAAAUGUGUAUGGGAAACUCAUUUACAUUUUCUUUUACCUCACUUUUUUUUCACUUCACUUUCCCAUACAAUUUUCUAUUCAAACGGAGAAGUAGACAUCAGGAGAGAAUACAUCUAUCAUCAAACUUAUGGACAUGACCCUUUUUUCAGUUUUAACAUAUGUGUUCAUGAGUUACUGCCAUUAUAAUUUCACUCUUCUUGGUGGUAGAGAUAGGUCCAUAAUCCUUACGGCACAAUUUUACAAAACAUGAUGCAUUGAAUAGAAAAACAGGGAAUUGAUGAGAGAAAUGCUAUACAUAACCAAAGUCUUUAUCAGGCUGAGGACUGAUUUAAAAAGCAUGAUCUGGAGCUUGACCACAUGAAAAGCUUGAUUAGAAAAAACAACAGAAGGAUCAAGAAUUCACGCAGAGACGCAUACUUACACAAAACAGACAUCCAGCCAAUUAUCCCUCUGUUGAAGUGCAGUCCAGAGAUCAACAACCUUAAUAUCCAACUCUCGACACAAUUUUAUGCAGGCUUCUGAAUAUAUUCGGCAGGAUUCAUUUGUUCGACAAAGCUGAUCACAUGUUCGACUAAGGAAAACCAUUCAAACACUUCAAAUUGAUAAUGUUCCUCAUAAACCACUAAAAUUCACUGAAAAUUAACAUUUCCUUACCCAAAAAAUUCACAAAUUUGAGCCUCAUUCACAGGAGGGGUGCUAAGGAAGAGUACACGAGUCUUGUCCGAAAGAGACUGCCAAAGGAACAUUAGUCAGUCGGAAAGCCAGAAAAUAAUUGAAAAGUUAAAGGAGGCCCAGAAUAAUUGGAUUUGUUCUUGAGGUUCACGUUCACAGAACUAGAUGCAAAUACAAGAUAAAGCAAGCGCUCUGAAACGCGGAAGUGAGCGUAGUAGGGCAGAACAAACAGCUGCCAUGAACAUACGUUACCAGUGAUUGACAAUUCAGGUAUCAGGUCAGUCCAAUGCAAAAUAAGUAUUUAAAACAGCUUUCUCCCAAAAAAGUCACCUUAAGAUGAAAGGCAAUUUUCUUCAUAUUCUCCACAUAUUCUGCAAGAGGAACA